rnacentral:rRNA from 1 species
CACGCCGUAAACGAUGAGUACUAGGUGUAGGAGGUAUCGACCCCUUCUGUGCCGCAGUAAACACAAUAAGUACUCCGCCUGGGAAGUACGAUCGCAAGAUUAAAACUCAAAGGAAUUGACGGGGGCCCGCACAAGCAGCGGAGCAUGUGGUUUAAUUCGAAGCAACGCGAAGAACCUUACCUGGACUUGACAUACCCUGAAUGACUCGUAAUGGAGGAAGCCCUACGGGGCAGGGAGACAGGUGG